AAAAGUGAAAGACGGUCUUGCUGUCACUUAUAGAUGGAUCCGCGCUGCAUUAGCUAGUUGGUAAGGUAACGGCUUACCAAGGCAACGAUGCAUAGCCGACCUGAGAGGGUGAUCGGCCACACUGGAACUGAGACACGGUCCAGACUCCUACGGGAGGCAGCAGUAGGGAAUCUUCCGCAAUGGGCGAAAGCCUGACGGAGCAACGCCGCGUGAGUGAUGAAGGUCUUCGGAUCGUAAAACUCUGUUAUUAGGGAAGAACAUAUGUGUAAGUAACUGUGCACAUCUUGACGGUACCUAAUCAGAAAGCCACGGCUAACUACGUGCCAGCAGCCGCGGUAAUACGUAGGUGGCAAGCGUUAUCCGGAAUUAUUGGGCGUAAAGCGCGCGUAGGCGGUUUUUUAAGUCUGAUGUGAAAGCCCACGGCUCAACCGUGGAGGGUCAUUGGAAACUGGAAAACUUGAGUGCAGAAGAGGAAAGUGGAAUUCCAUGUGUAGCGGUGAAAUGCGCAGAGAUAUGGAGGAACACCAGUGGCGAAGGCGACUUUCUGGUCUGUAACUGACGCUGAUGUGCGAAAGCGUGGGGAUCAAACAGGAUUAGAUACCCUGGUAGUCCACGCCGUAAACGAUGAGUGCUAAGUGUUAGGGGGUUUCCGCCCCUUAGUGCUGCAGCUAACGCAUUAAGCACUCCGCCUGGGGAGUACGACCGCAAGGUUGAAACUCAAA
rnacentral:rRNA from 1 species